rnacentral:misc_RNA from 1 species
AACGUAGGGGUCGAGCGUUAUCCGGAAUUACUGGGCGUAAAGCGCGUGCAGGCGGCCUGACAAGUCGGACGUGAAAGCUCCUGGCUCAACUGGGAGAGGCCGUUCGAAACUGUGGGGCUAGAGGAUGGUAGAGGCGAGUGGAAUUCCCGGUGUAGUGGUGAAAUGCGUAGAUAUCGGGAGGAACACCAGAGGCGAAAGCGGCUCGCUGGGCCAUUACUGACGCUCAGACGCGAAAGCCAGGGGAGCGAACGGG